UACGGAGGGUGCAAGCGCUAUCCGGAUUCACUGGGUUUAAAGGGUGCGUAGGCGGCACGGUAAGUCAGAGGUGAAAUCCCGGAGCUCAACUUCGGAAUUGCCUCCGAUACUGCCGUGCUUGAGGACUGGAGAGGAGAUUGGAAUUCACAGUGGAGCAGUGAAAUGCGUAGAUAUUGUGAGGAACACUAGUGGCGAAGGCGAAUCUCUGGACAGUUCCUGACGCUGAGGCACGAAGGCCAGGGGAGCAAACGGG
rnacentral:rRNA from 1 species